rnacentral:tRNA from 6 species
CGGGAUAUAGCGCAGCUUGGUAGCGCGCGUCGUUCGGGACGACGAGGUCGCAGGUUCAAAUCCUGUUAUCCCGACUA